rnacentral:lncRNA from 1 species
AGAUUUAAAAGAUUAUUAUUUUAUUCCUGUAGCUAGUUGAAAUUUGAUUUCUACGUUUGUGCUAGUACAGGAUGGUUUUGAAUUUAAUUUCAAUAAAGACUUUUGUUUCAUUUAUUUACGAAAUAAAUUGAUUAUACAUGGUCUUUUAAUUGACAGUCUAUAUCACUUGCAUAUUGAUACGAAUGUGAAUUUGAAUGAGCAAAUAGGAAGUGCCA